rnacentral:lncRNA from 1 species
GUUACUGAGAUAUUACAGGGUUUUAGUAGUUAUUGAGAUAUUACAGGUCAGGGUUUUAGUAGUUAUUGAUAUAUUACUGGGUUUUAGUAGUUAUUGAGAUACUACAGGGUUUUAGUAGUUAUUGAGAUAUUACAGGGUUUUAGUAGUUAUUGAGAUAGUACAGUGUUUUAGUAGUUAUUGAGAUAUUACAGGGUUUUAGUAGUUAUUGAGAUAUUACAGGGUUUUAGUAGUUAUUGAGAUAUUACAGGGUUUUAGUAGUUAAUGAGAUAUUACAGGGUUUUAGUAGUUAAUGAGAU